GGGUAUGGCAGCCAUGUAACAGGGAAAGGGCCACUGAUGGACAACUAGUAAAUCCCACCAAGUCGCUGAUCACGGGGAACCUAAUUUCCAGCAGGCUCCAGACUAGACUACAAGGUGGGAAGCUGGCUGAGGAGGGGACUCUGUGCCGCUAUGGGGAAGCAAUCAUCUGUGCUGAGUUCUUGCUUCCAGGUUCCCAGCUUGAAUUCCUGCCCUAGUUCUCAGCGAUGGACCACGGAGGUAUAAGCCCUUUCCUCCCCAGGUUGCUUUUGGCUGUGAUGUUUUAUCACAGCAAUAGAAGGAAAACGAUGACACCCAUGUUCUGUAAGUGAGACCAAUAAACUCAUUGGUUCUCCAAGCUGGACUUGAUGGAAGACACUUUGGUUGGUCAUUGGCGCCUUAAGGGUGGCUUAGACAUUUGUUCAAAUGUUCCUGCAACACCCUGUUACAAAAUAAGCAAGCAAACAAACAUAUUAAUCACCCACAACCAUGAAGAUGCUCACAACACUAUGAAUGACAAAAAACAAUAAUAGCAUGAACCUGACAGGGUCUUCUGAACCCCAACCGAGCAGCAGACAACCUUGGCCCAACACGGUGAUAUAGACAAGGCCAGGUACACUAUCCCUAGCUGCCGCCGUUUAUGUUCCAGAAUAAAGCGAUGCUGGAGUCGCAACCCACAUUUUUCCAUGCUGCAUUCCGCGAAAACAGAGACAGAAACUGUGGCUGAAGCAAGCAGCAUGUGGACCCAUUGGAAGUGUUGCCAGCUGAAGGCCCCUGCAGGGGCUUUAUCAGCAGGGAGACUGUGAGGAUAAUUCUGCUGCCCGGGUACCACCCUACUCACCAGCUGAGAAGAACCGUUUUCUAUUCUCAAAUGUUUGCGGGAGUCAGUGUAACAGUGGCUAUAAAACUGCUUCAAAGACAGUGAAGUACCACAGGAAACGUGGCCAUUAUUUUAUCUCUCUGCUCAGUGUCCGUUUCAAUACAGAAUGGAUAACAAGAUGUCUGUCUUCUGGGAUUGUCAUAAGGAUCUGCUAAGA